rnacentral:piRNA from 1 species
UUCAGUGGGAAUGGCAGCAGCUUGGA